rnacentral:snoRNA from 1 species
GGUUCGAUGCCACGUCGCUGGUAGCUAAAGUUGCAAUGACCGACGAUGCUAUGAUUGAACCGAUAUUAAGUUUUUUCGUUUCGCAAUUUAUAGGAACCUGUGAACUGUUAAAUUCCCGUUCAUUCACAGAGCCGGUUUUUGCGACUACAUUUUAUUGUAGUUCAAAUUGUUGUUUAAUUGAUUGAAAAAGUUGAAAGCCAAUGAUGAUGUAAAUUAAAAAAUGUUGGAAUUACCGACUGAAUUUGUUUUGAUGAUAACUAGGCUGCCUGAGGCUUUUU